rnacentral:tRNA from 1 species
GCCGAUGUAGCUCAGCUGGUAGAGCAAUGCUUUCGUAAAGCAGAGGUCGUGGGUUCGAUUCCCACCAUCGGCU